UGUAGCUCAGUCGGCAGAGCAUGAGACUUUUAACCUCAAGGUCGUGAGUUCGAGCCCCAGGUUGGGCAAAA